UAUGACAACCUGGUUGAUCCUGCCAGUAGUCAUAUGCUUGUCUCAAAGAUUAAGCCAUGCAUGUCUCAGUACAAGCCAAAUUAAGGUGAAACCGCGAAAGGCUCAUUAAAUCAGUUAUGGUUCCUUAGAUCGUACCCACAAUUACUUGGAUAACUGUGGUAAUUCUAGAGCUAAUACAUGCAAACAGAGCUCCGACCGGAGACGGAAGGAGUGCUUUUAUUAGAUCAAGACCAAUCGGUGGCGGGUUCGCUCGUCAUCGUACAACUUGGUGACUCUGAAUAACUUUACGCUGAUCGCACGGUCUUCGCGCCGGCGACGCAUCUUUCAAAUGUCUGCCUUAUCAACUGUCGAUGGUAGGUUCUGCGCCUACCAUGGUUGUAACGGGUAACGGGGAAUCAGGGUUCGAUUCCGGAGAGGGAGCCUGAGAAACGGCUACCACAUCCAAGGAAGGCAGCAGGCGCGCAAAUUACCCACUCCCGGC
rnacentral:rRNA from 1 species